CAUAGGGAAACUUUUUUUGAAGGUAGUAUCGCGUCAUUUUACUCAAACCAUAACAAUCUGCGUCAAUGUAGGUAAAUUUGCGUCAACAUACGUAAAUUCCCGUGAAAUUAACGUCAACACUAAACAAAAAUCUGAGUGUUUGAGGUGUAUACGAUACGGACGUACAUUUAAACUAGGUCGUUGGAUUUUAUAUGGCAGCCAAUUCCAGCAGUCCAUAACAAGCUUGUUUUUGCUGUACCUACACUGUACAUUUUCAUCCUGAAUUAAUUUUGUAAUCACAUUUUUAAUCAGUAAGCUCCUGUGUUAACAUUUUUCACAGGUGCCUUUUUAUCAGGCAUUUAACCAAGGAGACAUGUAGAAAUAGGCUAGAAUAGCAAUUUUUGGACCAGUUCUCUAAAUUUCAUCUGAUAUUGAGUGCACAAAGUUACCGAUACAAGUUUUAUACAUAUUUUACUGUAUGUACAAUAUAAACAAUAAACUAUCCUAUUGUGGGAGGCACAUUUAUAAACCAAAAAACUGGUAAAAUAUUUUGAUAAUAUUAUUAUACAGUGAAAGCAUUUCAUUUAUAUCAUGUUUUUGCACAGUACAUAAAUCAGAUAGUUUUUUUACAGAACGUAGUAUCUGAUCAGUACAAGUAACAAAGUAAUCAAUAAAAGUAAACAAUCAGUAAGUCUUAAUAUCUAAUACCUUAGUGACCAAAUGAAAAGUCAAUAAAUAAUAAGCUUGACUUUUGUUUACUGGUCUAGGCAUCAAUACAAAUUUGUUUCUUUAAAAAGUAGUCGAAAGUUUUAUAUGUUCCCAAUAUUGUUUUUUGAUUGAAGUGCAAAGUUAAUGCCCAAUAUUAUUUUUUAUAAUUUUUUUUUAAUAUUGGAAUUUGACACAAAUGCCACAAUAACAAAACCGGGUUUACAAUUUAAUUUAGCAGUACUCAGAACAUUUUCUUACACCUUAUUAGGCUGCCUCUGCAUACAGGCAUUUUCCUUUGUAGAAAAGUAACAGUUUGUCAUUACUAUCUAUGAAUGUACUGUAGGAAUAUAAAGAAUGCUGUAUGACUUAGACACACAUUUGCGGGCGUAAUAACAAAUUUUAAAAACACCUAGGUAUUUUUUUCUGGAAUUUCCAUUGUUCGUGGUAGCGGGUGUAGUAAUUGAACAAAAAGAAUAUUUUCUUUUUAUUUGACAUCAUCAGUUUGUGCGAGAGAUGAAUUUGCGAAACAAGGUAUAA